rnacentral:rRNA from 1 species
UACAGAGGGUGCGAGCGUUAAUCGGAAUUACUGGGCGUAAAGCGCGCGUAGGCGGCUUUGCAAGUCGGGUGUGAAAUCCCCAGGCUUAACCUGGGAACUGCAUUCGAGACUGCAUUGCUAGAGUAUGGGAGAGGGAAGUGGAAUUUCCGGUGUAGCGGUGAAAUGCGUAGAUAUCGGAAGGAAUACCAGUGGUGAAGGCGGCGACCUGGGCCAAUACUGACGCUGAGGUGCGAAAGCGUGGGGAGCAAACAGG